ACGGCGAGUGAAGCGGCAACAGCUCAAAUUUGAAAUCUGGCCUCACGGUCCGAGUUGUAAUUUGUAGAGGAUGUUUUGGGUACCGCCGCGGUUUAAAUUUCUUGGAACAGAAUGUCAAAGAGGGUGAGAGUCCCGUCUUGGAUUGCGGUAGGGCCUGUGUAAAACUCCUUCGACGAGUCGACUUGUUUGGGAAUGCAGGUCAAAAUGGGUGGUAAAUUUCAUCUAAAGCUAAAUAUUGGCCAGAGACCGAUAGCGCACAAGUAGAGUGAUCGAAAGAUGAAAAGCACUUUGAAAAGAGAGUUAAACAGUAUGUGAAAUUGUUGAAAGGGAAGCGCUGGCAACCAGACUCGUGCGCGGGGUUCCCCCUUGCUUCUGCUUGGGUCACUUCCCCGUGUCCGGGCCAUCAUCAGUUUCGGGGGCCGGUUAAAGGCUCUGGGAAUGUAUCUACUCCUUCGGGGGUAGACUUAUAGCCCAGGGUGUCAUGCGGCCACUCGGGACUGAGGAACGCGCUUCGGCGAGGAUGAUGGCGUAAUGGUUGUCAGCGACCCGUCUUGAAACACGGACCAAGGAGUCUAACAUCUAUGCGAGUGUUCGGGUGUCAAACCCUUGCGCGGAAUGAAAGUGAACGGAGGUAGGAAGGCUUAAGCCUGCACUAUCGACCGAUCCUGAUGUCUUCGGAUGGAUUUGAGUAAGAGCAUAGCUGUUGGGACCCGAAAGAUGGUGAACUAUGCGUGAAUAGGGUGAAGCCAGAGGAAACUCUGGUGGAGGCUCGCAGCGGUUCUGACGUGCAAAUCGAUCGUCAAAUUUGCGUAUAGGGGCGAAAGAC
rnacentral:rRNA from 1 species